rnacentral:rRNA from 1 species
GGAGAAACCAUGGGAUCGCAAGACCUUGCGCUCAUUGAGCGGCCGAUGCCUGAUUAGCUAGUUGGUGAGGUAAAGGCUUACCAAGGCGACGAUCAGUAGCUGGUCUGAGAGGACGACCAGCCACACUGGGACUGAGACACGGCCCAGACUCCUACGGGAGGCAGCAGUGGGGAAUUUUGGACAAUGGGGGAAACCCUGAUCCAGCCAUGCCGCGUGAGUGAAGAAGGCCUUCGGGUUGUAAAGCUCUUUCAGCCGGAACGAAACGGUCACGGCUAAUACCUGUGACUACUGACGGUACCGGAAGAAGAAGCACCGGCUAACUACGUGCCAGCAGCCGCGGUAAUACGUAGGGUGCGAGCGUUAAUCGGAAUUACUGGGCGUAAAGCGUGCGCAGGCGGUUUUGUAAGUCAGAUGUGAAAUCCCCGGGCUUAACCUGGGAACUGCGUUUGAAACUACAAAGCUAGAAGGG